UUCGUCACACUAUCAUUAACUGAAUCCAUAGGUUAAUGAGGCGAACCGGGGGAACUGAAACAUCUAAGUACCCCGAGGAAAAGAAAUCAACCGAGAUUCCCCCAGUAGCGGCGAGCGAACGGGGAGGAGCCCAGAGCCUGAAUCAGUGUGUGUGUUAGUGGAAGCGUCUGGAAAGGCGCGCGAUACAGGGUGACAGCCCCGUACACAAAAAUGCACAUAUUGUGAGCUCGAUGAGUAGGGCGGGACACGUGGUAUCCUGUCUGAAUAUGGGGGGACCAUCCUCCAAGGCUAAAUACUCCUGACUGACCGAUAGUGAACCAGUACCGUGAGGGAAAGGCGAAAAGAACCCCGGCGAGGGGAGUGAAAAAGAACCUGAAACCGUGUACGUACAAGCAGUGGGAGCCUCUUAAUGGGGUGACUGCGUACCUUUUGUAUAAUGGGUCAGCGACUUAUAUUCUGUAGCAAGGUUAACCGAAUAGGGGAGCCGAAGGGAAACCGAGUCUUAACUGGGCGUUAAGUUGCAGGGUAUAGACCCGAAACCCGGUGAUCUAGCCAUGGGCAGGUUGAAGGUUGGGUAACACUAACUGGAGGACCGAACCGACUAAUGUUGAAAAAUUAGCGGAUGACUUGUGGCUGGGGGUGAAAGGCCAAUCAAACCGGGAGAUAGCUGGUUCUCCCCGAAAGCUAUUUAGGUAGCGCCUCGUGAAUUCAUCUCCGGGGGUAGAGCACUGUUUCGGCAAGGGGGUCAUCCCGACUUACCAACCCGAUGCAAACUGCGAAUACCGGAGAAUGUUAUCACGGGAGACACACGGCGGGUGCUAACGUCCGUCGUGAAGAGGGAAACAACCCAGACCGCCAGCUAAGGUCCCAAAGUCAUGGUUAAGUGGGAAACGAUGUGGGAAGGCCCAGACAGCCAGGAUGUUGGCUUAGAAGCAGCCAUCAUUUAAAGAAAGCGUAAUAGCUCACUGGUCGAGUCGGCCUGCGCGGAAGAUGUAACGGGGCUAAACCAUGCACCGAAGCUGCGGCAGCGACACUAUGUGUUGUUGGGUAGGGGAGCGUUCUGUAAGCCUGUGAAGGUGGCCUGUGAGGGUUGCUGGAGGUAUCAGAAGUGCGAAUGCUGACAUAAGUAACGAUAAAGCGGGUGAAAAGCCCGCUCGCCGGAAGACCAAGGGUUCCUGUCCAACGUUAAUCGGGGCAGGGUGAGUCGACCCCUAAGGCGAGGCCGAAAGGCGUAGUCGAUGGGAAACAGGUUAAUAUUCCUGUACUUGGUGUUACUGCGAAGGGGGGACGGAGAAGGCUAUGUUGGCCGGGCGACGGUUGUCCCGGUUUAAGCGUGUAGGCUGGUUUUCCAGGCAAAUCCGGAAAACCAAGGCUGAGGCGUGAUGACGAGGCACUACGGUGCUGAAGCGACAAAUGCCCUGCUUCCAGGAAAAGCCUCUAAGCAUCAGGUAACAUCAAAUCGUACCCCAAACCGACACAGGUGGUCAGGUAGAGAAUACCAAGGCGCUUGAGAGAACUCGGGUGAAGGAACUAGGCAAAAUGGUGCCGUAACUUCGGGAGAAGGCACGCUGAUAUGUAGGUGAAGCGACUUGCUCGUGGAGCUGAAAUCAGUCGAAGAUACCAGCUGGCUGCAACUGUUUAUUAAAAACACAGCACUGUGCAAACACGAAAGUGGACGUAUACGGUGUGACGCCUGCCCGGUGCCGGAAGGUUAAUUGAUGGGGUUAGCGGUAACGCGAAGCUCUUGAUCGAAGCCCCGGUAAACGGCGGCCGUAACUAUAACGGUCCUAAGGUAGCGAAAUUCCUUGUCGGGUAAGUUCCGACCUGCACGAAUGGCGUAAUGAUGGCCAGGCUGUCUCCACCCGAGACUCAGUGAAAUUGAACUCGCUGUGAAGAUGCAGUGUACCCGCGGCAAGACGGAAAGACCCCGUGAACCUUUACUAUAGCUUGACACUGAACAUUGAGCCUUGAUGUGUAGGAUAGGUGGGAGGCUUUGAAGUGUGGACGCCAGUCUGCAUGGAGCCGACCUUGAAAUACCACCCUUUAAUGUUUGAUGUUCUAACGUUGGCCCGUAAUCCGGGUUGCGGACAGUGUCUGGUGGGUAGUUUGACUGGGGCGGUCUCCUCCUAAAGAGUAACGGAGGAGCACGAAGGUUGGCUAAUCCUGGUCGGACAUCAGGAGGUUAGUGCAAUGGCAUAAGCCAGCUUGACUGCGAGCGUGACGGCGCGAGCAGGUGCGAAAGCAGGUCAUAGUGAUCCGGUGGUUCUGAAUGGAAGGGCCAUCGCUCAACGGAUAAAAGGUACUCCGGGGAUAACAGGCUGAUACCGCCCAAGAGUUCAUAUCGACGGCGGUGUUUGGCACCUCGAUGUCGGCUCAUCACAUCCUGGGGCUGAAGUAGGUCCCAAGGGUAUGGCUGUUCGCCAUUUAAAGUGGUACGCGAGCUGGGUUUAGAACGUCGUGAGACAGUUCGGUCCCUAUCUGCCGUGGGCGCUGGAGAACUGAGGGGGGCUGCUCCUAGUACGAGAGGACCGGAGUGGACGCAUCACUGGUGUUCGGGUUGUCAUGCCAAUGGCACUGCCCGGUAGCUAAAUGCGGAAGAGAUAAGUGCUGAAAGCAUCUAAGCACGAAACUUGCCCCGAGAUGAGUUCUCCCUGAGACUUAGAGUCUCCUGAAGGAACGUUGAAGACGACGACGUUGAUAGGCCGGGUGUGUAAGCGCAGCGAUGCGUUGAGCUAACCGGUACUAAUGAACCGUGAGGCUUAACCUU
rnacentral:rRNA from 1 species